rnacentral:lncRNA from 1 species
UCAUGAGUUAUUUGUGAUUGAUGUCGUCAACUGCUAAUGACUAUCGAACUACAAUAUUUUAGAAUUGUUACUUCUGUAAAUAUUUCUCUAUGAAUAGUAUGUAUAAUAUCUUGUCUCAUUGAUUUAAUAUGUAUUUUUUCCUCUUUUCUUUCUCCACACCCACGACACAAUCGCCUUCUCCACUAUCGAAGCCACCACUAGCGCAAUGCCAUUUCCAC